rnacentral:tRNA from 1 species
AAUAAAGUGCCUGAUUAAAGGACUAUCUUGAUAGGAUAGAUCAAGUGAUUAUAUCACCUUUAUUA